rnacentral:rRNA from 1 species
GACGAACGCUGGCGGCGUGCUUAACACAUGCAAGUCGAACGGAAGGGCCUGCUUUCCCUUGUGGAUUGCGGGUACUCGAGUGGCGAACGGGUGAGUAACACGUGAGUGAUCUGCCCCCAACUUGGGUAUAAGCCUGGGAAACUGGGUCUAAUUCCCGAUAGGACUGCAGGGUGGUGCCUGUGGUGGAAAACGAUUUUCUAGUGGUUGGGGAUGAGCUCGCGGCCUAUCAGCUUGUUGGUGGGGUAAUGGCCUACCAAGGCGGCGACGGGUAGCCGGCCUGAGAGGGUGGACGGCCACAUUGGGACUGAGAUGCGGCCCAGACUCCUACGGGAGGCAGCAGUGGGGAAUAUUGCACAAUGGGCGGAAGCCUGAUGCAGCGACGCCGCGUGGGGGAUGACGGCCUUCGGGUUGUAAACUCCUUUCGACCGCGAGGAAGCCACCUGGUUGGAAGGGUGGUGACGGUAGUGGUAGAAGAAGCACCGGCUAACUACGUG